UACGUAGGGGGCAAGCGUUGUCCGGAUUUAUUGGGCGUAAAGAGCGUGUAGGCGGUUAGGUAGGUCCGUUGUGAAAACUCGAGGCUCAACCUCGAGACGCCGAUGGAAACCAUCUAACUAGAGUCCGGAAGAGGAGAGUGGAAUUCCUGGUGUAGCGGUGAAAUGCGCAGAUAUCAGGAGGAACACCGAUGGCGAAGGCAGGUCUCUGGGCCAUAACUGACGCUGAGAAGCGAAAGCAUGGGGAGCGAACAGG
rnacentral:rRNA from 1 species